AACUUUCGGCAAUGGAUCACUUGGCACUCGCAUCGAUGAAGAACGCAGCGAAAUGCGAUAAGUAAUGUGAAUUGCAGAAUUCAGUGAAUCAUCGAAUCUUUGAACGCAUCUUGCGCUCCAUGGUAUUCCGUGGAGCAUGCCUGUUUGAGUGUCAUUCAAGUUCUCAACCACAACUGGAUUCCUUUUUCUGUUGUGGCUUGGAUUGGUGGGGGAUUUGCUGGCUUUCACAAGUCUGCUCCCCUGAAAUGCAUUAGUGGUAUGAGCUACUACGUGGUGUGAUAAAUUUAUCUAUGCCCUGCUAGUGUGCAGCUGUAUACUGCUUCUAACAAAAACUUUAUUUGUUUGAUGAAUUUGACCUCAAAUCAGGUAGGACUACCCGCUGAACUUAAGCAUAUCAAUAAGCGGAGGCU
rnacentral:misc_RNA from 1 species